rnacentral:rRNA from 1 species
GAUGAACGCUGGCGGCGUGCCUAAUACAUGCAAGUCGAACGCGCAGCGAAAGGUGCUUGCACCUUUCAAGCGAGUGGCGAACGGGUGAGUAACACGUGGAUAACCUGCCUCAAGGCUGGGGAUAACAUUUGGAAACAGAUGCUAAUACCGAAUAAAACUUAGUAUCGCAUGAUACAAAGUUAAAAGGCGCUACGGCGUCACCUAGAGAUGGAUCCGCGGUGCAUUAGUUAGUUGGUGGGGUAAAGGCUUACCAAGACGAUGAUGCAUAGCCGAGUUGAGAGACUGAUCGGCCACAUGGGACUGAGACACGGCCCAAACUCCUACGGGAGGCUGCAGUAGGAAAUCUUCCACAAUGGGCGCAAGCCUGAUGGAGCAACGCCGCGUGUGUGAUGAAGGCUUUCGGGUCGUAAAGCACUGUUGUAUGGGAAGAAAUGCUAAAAUAGGGAAUGAUCUUAGUUUGACGGUACCAUACCAGAAAGGGACGGCUAAAUACGUGCCAGCCGCCGCCGUAA